CCUGAGCUGAAUUCGGAUGCUUAACUGACUGAGCCACCCAGGCACCCCUCUAUUGGUAUAAUUUAUCGCCACACUAGUUUAAAGGAAUUCUGUGUAGCUGUUCAAAUGUAAGAUAUAUUUACAUGUGUGGGUAUAGAAACAAAUCACCCAUUUGUAUUAUUAAUUUAAGAAUGUAAGGUUUAGAACUAGAUACAGUAUGUUCCUGUUUGUGUAAGAAAAUGUUUUCUCUUAUGUGUAGAAACAUAGGUGUUUGUGUCUGAGCAUACACAUAGUUAAGCUGCUUGUGUAAAGAACAUUUCUGUAAGGAUAAAAGCAACUUUUACAGUGGUUGGCUCUAGAAAAGGAAAGAAAGGACUAAGGU